CAUGAGUAAGAGCAAUGAUGGCCCCUUUGGCAGUCCUCAAUGCACUAGCAUGCACUAAAACCAAAACACACAAGGAGAUUCAGCACUGUUAAGAAGAGAAAUCCAAGUUGACUUGGCAUGAAGCAGGAGGCUGAUUGAGAGCUUUGAAACCUCUUUAAACUUGGACAUUUCAAGAAUCCUGGAAGAGCACUAUUGUGAAAAAAACUAGGAGACCUGCCAGGAAUGAGUGUUUGGUUUCUGCUCUGGAGGUGCUUGAGAAGGGCAAUAGAUCUUAUCUCCAAGUCUUAUUUUCUAAAGAGGUUCCAAGCCAUCGAUACGCAUGAUCUUCAGCAUCCCAGCAGCCAUUUCCUGCUGACCGCUGAGCAGGAAGAGCACAUGACCCUGGCUGGAGCCGCCAAGAGGGUGGAGAUGAUCAGAAAUCCUUUCACUGUCAAAUUCAGAGAAGAAACAUGCUGAGAAGAGGCACUUCCUAUGCCAGGCCUACCUGUGCCGUGAGGAAUACAUGUAGGAGACACUAUUUGAAAAGGUCGCCACCUUGCUGGAACAACCAAUGCAGAGAUAAUGCUGGGCCCUCUAAUCAGUUGAACAGUGGCUUCAAAAAGAUAGGUCAAAGUUAUAAUCUCCUGCAGCUGUGCAUGUGACUUUCUUUGGAAAUAGGAUCUUGCAGGUAUGAUGAAGGCCUAUCUUCCCCAGGCCUGCCAAAGGGAUCCUGCAAAAAAGCAAAUCUGAUCAUAUCCCAGCUCUCAGACCUCUCCACUCGAUGUCCAUCAGCUCCAGGAGGUGCCUUCCAAGGCCUGAAGGUUGACAGAUCCCCCAGGAUCCCCAGGGCCAGCCUACUCUGCAGCCUCACCUCCCAUGCUCCCCUUAUGCCAAUUCUCAGCAGGUUUCUCCCCUGCUUCAUCCCCUAAAUGUUACCCUCCAGUGAUAUUAUUGAUCACCUUCUGAGCAUGCGAUGCCUGCCUGUGACUUUCCACACAGUUUCCCUGAGUCAGGAAAUGUUCUUUUUGCUUGACAACCUGGCAAAGUCUGGUUAGCUUUCCAAUUCAGCUAGGACCAGAGCCUUCUCUUACCUUUACAUCUACCCACCACACCCCUGAAUUAAUUUAAUCUCUCCUCCCUCUCUACUACCUCUUUAAGUUAAACUUAAUCCUCUGCUGGUACCUGUUACACAAGUGUGAGAAUUGAGAAUUCUUACUGUUUAAAGGUCCACUUCCCUACUAGAGUGGAGUUUUGUUUUUUGUUUUUUUCUUUUUCUUUUUUUUUUUUUUUUUGAGAUG
rnacentral:lncRNA from 1 species